rnacentral:rRNA from 1 species
GCUGAAUGUGGGGAUAAUUUAUCUCCGUGUUGUAGCUAACGCGUUAAGCACUCCGCCUGGGGACUACGGUCGCAAGACUAAAACUCAAAGGAAUUGACGGGGACCCGCACAAGCGGUGGAGCAUGUGGUUUAAUUCGAUGCAACGCGAAAAACCUUACCACUCCUUGACAUGGGGAUUAGAUCCUUCUUAACAGAAGGGCGCAGUUCGGCUGGAUCUCGCACAGGUGCUGCAUGGCUGUCGUCAGCUCGUGUCGUGAGAUGUUGGGUUAAGUCCCGCAACGAGCGUAACCCUCAUCCUUAGUUGCCAGCGGGUAAGCCGGGCACUUUAAGGAAACUGCCGGUGGUAAACCGGAGGAAGGUGGGGAUGAUGUCAAGUCAGCACGGCCCUUAUGGGGUGGGCCACACACGUGCUACAAUGGUGACUACAAUAGGUUGCAAUGUCGCAAGGCUGAGCUAAUCCGUAAAAGUCAUCUCAGUUCGGAUUGUCCUCUGCAACUCGAGGGCAUGAAGUCGGAAUCGCUAGUAAUCGUGGAUCAGCAUGCCACGGUGAAUACGUUCUCGGGUCUUGUACACACUGCCCGUCACGCCAUGGGAAUUGGCUUAACUCGAAGCUGGUGCGCUAACCGAAAGGAAGCAGCCAU